UGGGGAAUCUUGGACAAUGGGCGCAAGCCUGAUCCAGCCAUGCCGCGUGGAUGAUGAAGGCCUUAGGGUUGUAAAAUCCUUUCGCCGAGGACGAUAAUGACGGUACUAUUUAUAAGGUCCGGCUAACUACGUGCCAGCAGCCGCGGUAAUACGUAGGGACCAAGCGUUGUUCGGAUUUACUGGGCGUAAAGGGCGCGUAGGCGGCAUGACAAGUCACUUGUGAAAUCUCUGGGCUUAACCCAGAACGGCCAAGUGAUACUGUCGCGCUAGAGUGCAGAAGGGGCAAUCGGAAUUCUUGGUGUAGCGGUGAAAUGCGUAGAUAUCAAGAGGAACACCUGAGGUGAAGACGGGUUGCUGGGCUGACACUGACGCUGAGGCGCGAAAGCCAGGGGAGCAAACGGGAUUAGAUACCCAUGUAGUCCCUGAGCGGGCUGGCAAGGCGCAU
rnacentral:rRNA from 1 species